rnacentral:rRNA from 1 species
AUUGAACGCUGGCGGCAUGCUUUACACAUGCAAGUCGAACGGCAGCACGGACUUCGGUCUGGUGGCGAGUGGCGAACGGGUGAGUAAUACAUCGGAACGUACCCAGUAAUGGGGGAUAACUAUCCGAAAGGAUAGCUAAUACCGCAUACGCCCUACGGGGGAAAGAGGGGGACCGACAGACCUUUAGUUAUUGGAUGGGCCGAUGGCUGAUUAGCUAGUUGGUGGGGUAAAGGCCUACCAAGGCAACGAUCAGUAGCGGGUCUUAGAGGACGAUCCGCCACACUGGAACUGAGACACGGUCCAGACUCCUACGGGAGGCAGCAGUGGGGAAUCUUGGACAAUGGGCGCAAGCCUGAUCCAGCAAUGCCGCGUGCGUGAAGAAGGCCUUCGGGUUGUAAAGCGCUUUUGUCAGGGAGCAAAUCCUUGUGGCUAAUACCCACCGGGGAUGAGAGUACCUGAAGAAUAAGGACCGGCUAACUACGUGCCAGCCGCCGCGGUAAUAC